rnacentral:rRNA from 1 species
GGGCGGGGGGGCCUAUACUGCAAGUCGAGCGGACAGAAGGGAGCUUGCUCCCGGAUGUUAGCGGCGGACGGGUGAGUAACACGUGGGUAACCUGCCUGUAAGACUGGGAUAACUCCGGGAAACCGGAGCUAAUACCGGAUAGUUCCUUGAACCGCAUGGUUCAAGGAUGAAAGACGGUUUCGGCUGUCACUUACAGAUGGACCCGCGGCGCAUUAGCUAGUUGGUGGGGUAAUGGCUCACCAAGGCGACGAUGCGUAGCCGACCUGAGAGGGUGAUCGGCCACACUGGGACUGAGACACGGCCCAGACUCCUACGGGAGGCAGCAGUAGGGAAUCUUCCGCAAUGGACGAAAGUCUGACGGAGCAACGCCGCGUGAGUGAUGAAGGUUUUCGGAUCGUAAAGCUCUGUUGUUAGGGAAGAACAAGUGCGAGAGUAACUGCUCGCACCUUGACGGUACCUAACCAGAAAGCCACGGCUAACUACGUGCCAGCAGCCGCGGUAAUACGUAGGUGGCAAGCGUUGUCCGGAAUUAUUGGGCGUAAAGGGCUCGCAGGCGGUUUCUUAAGUCUGAUGUGAAAGCCCCCGGCUCAACCGGGGAGGGUCAUUGGAAACUGGGAAACUUGAGUGCAGAAGAGGAGAGUGGAAUUCCACGUGUAGCGGUGAAAUGCGUAGAGAUGUGGAGGAACACCAGUGGCGAAGGCGACUCUCUGGUCUGUAACUGACGCUGAGGAGCGAAAGCGUGGGGAGCGAACAGGAUUAGAUACCCUGGUAGUCCACGCCGUAAACGAUGAGUGCUAAGUGUUAGGGGGUUUCCGCCCCUUAGUGCUGCAGCUAACGCAUUAAGCACUCCGCCUGGGGAGUACGGUCGCAAGACUGAAACUCAAAGGAAUUGACGGGGGCCCGCACAAGCGUGGGAGCAUGUGGUUUAAUUCAAAGCAACGCGAAGAACCUUACCAGGUCUUGACAUCCUCUGACAACCCUAGAGAUAGGGCUUUCCCUUCCGGGAACAAAAUGACAGGGGGUGCAAGGUUGCCCGUCCCUCCCCGCCCCGAAAGGUUG